GUUGCAAUUGCUUUCGAGGGACUUUAUCUCAUUUUUUCAUGCCAAAAUUCGGUACUUAGCCCAAAAAACAGAUCUCUUGUCCUUUGCGCGGAAAUAUUUAACACACAAAAAAGGCGGGGGCCCAACAAAAAUUUUUCAGGGGCCCCCAGCAACUCGGGGACCGGGGCAAUUUGCCCCCCCCUGCCCCUCCCUCUCUGCGGCCCUGCUGCUAACAAAGCGAUAUAACUACCCGCAAAAAAAACACGCUACAAUACAGACAAAUACCAAUAUGAAUAAAAGAAUCACGCCCAAGUCCAAGUUUGAUGCCUGAAGCUGUUCAUUUUCAAUUGGAU